rnacentral:rRNA from 1 species
AUUGAACGCUGGCGGCAGGCCUAACACAUGCAAGUCGAGCGGAGCGGCGGACGGGUGAGUAAUGAUCAGGAAUCUGCCUGGUCGUGGGGGAUAACGUCCGGAAACGGGCGCUAAUACUGCAUACUAUUAGACUAGCCUAGGUCGGAUUAGCUAGGUGGUGGGGUAAAGGCCUACCAAGGCGACGAUCCGUAGCUGGUCUGAGAGGAGGAUCAGUCACACUGGAACUGAGACACGGCCCAGACUCCUACGGGAGGCAGCAGUGGGGAAUAUUGGACAAUGGGCGAAAGCCUGAUCCAGCCAUGCCGCGUGUGUGAAGAAGGUCUUCGGAUUGUAAAGCACUUUAAGUUUGGAGGCGUUACCAACAGAAUAAGCACCGGCUAACUCCGUGCCAGCAGCCGCGGUAAUAC